CCGCGUCCGAGUCCGUUCCUGUCUCUUUCACCCCAAAUCCGCACGCAGUCCGCCACGGCAACAGCGCGCUUCCUGUCCUGCAUCGGGAGCCGGAGGACCUCGCCUACUCCCUCCCUCCAUCGGCGCCCGGAACAGCGCUGCCGCCACGCCGGUGCUGCCCAACGUGUACAGCGCGCUGCUCUGCUUUGACCGCCUCUCCGAGCUCUCCUCUGCCAUUGACGAGUUCUCAAGUGGGUAUCAACAAGACUGCGCGCGUGCCGGAGAACGAGGACGACUGAAAUCACAUAGAGGAAACUCGAAUACAAUAGUGGCUCUUGCUGGGAACAAGGCUGAUUUGUUAGAUACGAGGCAGGUGUCAGCAGAUGUAUGUUAAUGUGCUUCUCAAGUUCUAUUUUUAACACAUUCAUGAGCUACCACAUUUGUUU